CACGCUGUAAACGAUGAGCACUAGCCAUUGGGAGGUUUGACCCCUUCAGUGGCGUAGCAAACGCGUUAAGUGCUCCGCCUGGGAAGUACGGUCGCAAGACUAAAACUCAAAGGAAUUGACGGGGGCCCGCACAAGCGGUGGAUUAUGUGGUUUAAUUCGAAGCAACGCGCAAAACCUUACCUAGGCUUGAACUCGUGAGAAUUCUGGGUAAUGCCGGAAGUGUCCGCAAGGAAACUCAUAGAGAGGUGC
rnacentral:rRNA from 1 species